rnacentral:rRNA from 1 species
CGCCACCUGUUAAAUCAGGAGCCGUUCACAGGUGCUGCAUGGCUGUCGUCAGCUCGUGCCGUGAGGUGUUGGGUUAAGUCCCCCAACGAGCGUAACCCUCGUUGCCAGUUGUUUCUCUGGCGAGACUGCCCUGCAAAACGGGGAGGAAGGUGGGGAUGACGUCAAGUCAGCAUGGCCUUUAUGCCUUGGGCCACACACACGCUACAAUGGACGGUACAAUAGGUUGCAAUGGAGCGAUUCGGAGCUAAUCCUAAAAGCCGUUCUCAGUUCGGAUUGCAGGCUGAAACCCGCCUGCAUGAAGCCGGAGUUGCUAGUAACCGCAGGUCAGCAUACUGCGGUGAAUACGUUCUCGGGCCUU